AAAUACAGACAAAGACAAAGAGACCAAAGUGAGAAACCAAAUAUUUUGUCUGUGUGAGAACCUGCAGCAGAAGUGGGGAUAGAAAGACAAUCCUUCCUAUCACAGUUAACUCUUCCUGAUUUUUAAAAGACCUUCAUGAGAAAAUAGCCAGCACCCUUCAGAAUUACUGUCUUUGGGAGAGGUUCUGAACUCUAUUUAAGUUAAUGGGGAAAGGAUGCAAAAAGAAGUGUUUCCCUGCACUGACAUUACGAUUUAAAUGGACUGUGCCAUUUGUAAUCACCAGACUUAAAUUUAUGUGUUGUUGGUGGGUUCAUAUAUAAUGUUUUUUGUGAAUAUUGUUUAAUAGCACAAGUGUUUUUCCAUAAGAAUACAGAAAAGGAGCAGAAGAAGCAAAUGACAUUACUGCAUGAAAGGGAUCUUAACAGAAAAAGAUCUCGCCAUAAGAGCUGUAAGUCAUUCAUUUCCCUUCCUGUUUUUGUCCACGUGUUUAUAUUAUAUGACUGGUGUUUGCUUCUUGUAAUUUCUGCAUCUUAGUUGGAAGAGAACAAGCAUUUAGCCAGUGAAAUUGCUUUCCUUAUGAGGGAGAAUAAGGAACUGCAGAAGAAAACGGAAAGCAAUCCAGAAAGUGAAUAUCAUUUUAACUUAACUUUUUAAUUGUUUUCAUUCUAAAAAGAAAUGUGAUUUAUUUUAUCUUAAGUUUGACUGUACAAAUUCUAGUUCUUUUGUUAUUUUUUUGCCAGGAGUUGCUGACAGAGAAGAAAGGGAGUAUGAAGUACUGAAAAAGAAAUAUUUCUGUCUGCAGAAAUACAGACAUUAAAGAGCCCAACUAUUUUGUUUGUGUGAGAAUCUGUAGUAGGUGUGGGUAUACAGAGGCAAUACUUCCUCUGCAUCACAGCUGAUCCUUCCUAUUUAAUGGCCAGUCAUACAUUUCAUUGUUGUUGUUGGGUUAAUAUGUAAUGUCUUUUGUGAAUAUUAAUAGCACAAGUGUCAAGCCCCACCAUACCUGGUGGGGGAAAGCGGGAAAAUCGAAACCGAUUGAUUGGAGGUUGGAGGCCAGACAGAGACCGGAAGCACAGGCACUGGAUGGUGGACUGCUAAUGAGAAACGGAAUGCUGACGUCAAUUGCUAGUGGGGGGAAUGGGGCGUGGUCUUGCCUAUAUAUAGAACACGGGGAGGCAGUAACUACCAGUGCUGACUUUGCAACUGUCAUUUGUGCCAGGCCUCAGGUUUGAAUAAAACGUUACCAACCGUUUCCAGAGCGUGUUUGUUUUCUGAGUUCUUAAGACCUGGUGACUGCACACUUGAGAACAAGUGUUUUUCCAUAAAAAUACAGAAAAGAAGCAGAGGGAAGAACUGAUAUUGAUGAAUGAAAGGGAGCUGGAGGAAGAAAAUCUGGCCAUAAGAGCUGUAAGUCAUUCAUUUCCCUUACAAUGCUGUUUUAAGCUCCUCUUUUUGUCCAUGUAUUUAUAUUAUAUGACUGAUGUUUGCUUCUUGUAAUUUCUGCAUCUUGGAAGAGAACUACCGUUUAUCCAGCAAAAUGGCUCUCCUUGUAAAGUUGAAUUAGGAGCUGGAGAACAGAACAAAACACAAUCUAGAAAAUGAGUAUCAUUUUAACUUAAUUGUUAAUUGUUUUCAUUUGAAAAAAAAAGUGAUUUAUUUCUUUUUAAGUUUGACUGUAGAAGUUCUAGUUCUUCUAUUAUCUUUUUGCCAGAGAUGCUGACAGAGAGGUCCUAAGGGACCAACAGGAAAAAUUCCAGAAAGUCAUAAGCAACUGGUUAGGGCUCGGGACCAGCCAUUGAUGAUGUCUGUGCUGAUCUGGUAUCCCUAUCCAUCAGGGGAGGACCAAGACAUCUCUGCCAGAGAAGAGUGCACAAAACCUGAUUGCAAACAAAAGGUCUCAAAAGAAGCAGAGAAAAACAAAGAACUGAUAAGGGCUCAGGACCAGGCAAUUGAUGAUGUCUGUUCCGAUCUUGUAUCCCUAUCUGUCCGGUGAAGACCAAGACAAUAAGAUUUGUCCUUCCGUUUCUGGGAAAGAAAGAAAUAUGUUUCAGUUGUUGACUCUCUACUUCAGGAAAUCACAAUUGGGAAUGUCAUCUCUUCAUCCUCUGUCACUAAAAUUUUAACCUUUCAGCAGCAAGCUGUCUUUUAAAUACAUCAAAUAUAUUUGUUUAACACUUUUCAGUCUCUGCAAGAAAACAGUCAUAAGAAAAACUUGAUUGCAUACAAAAGGUAAAUGAUGAUGUUUUUAAGAUAUUACACAUUUUUAUUCUGUAGAAAAGUUUUACAACAGUUGACAGUAAAAAUAAAAUCAA